rnacentral:rRNA from 1 species
AGUGAACGCUGGCGGUAGGCCUAACACAUGCAAGUCGAACGGCAGCACAGUAAGAGCUUGCUCUUACGGGUGGCGAGUGGCGGACGGGUGAGGAAUACAUCGGAAUCUACUUUUUCGUGGGGGAUAACGUAGGGAAACUUACGCUAAUACAGCAUACGACCUACGGGUGAAAGCAGGGGAUCUUCGCACCUUGCGCGAUUGAAUGAGCCGAGGUCGGAUUAGCUAGUUGGCGGGGUAAAGGCCCACCAAGGCGACGAUCCGUAGCUGGUCUGAGAGGAUGAUCAGCCACACUGGAACUGAGACACGGUCCAGACUCCUACGGGAGGCAGCAGUGGGGAAUAUUGGACAAUGGGCGCAAGCCUGAUCCAGCCAUACCGCGUGGGUGAAGAAGGCCUUCGGGUUGUAAAGCCCUUUUGUUGGGAAAGAAAAGCAGCAGGUUAAUACCCCGCUGUUCUGACGGUACCCAAAGAAUAAGCACCGGCUAACUUCGUG